GACAGGGAAAAAAAAAAAAAAAAAGAGAGAGGAGAGAGAGACAGAGAAUGCAAGUACAAAAGAAACCAACCGACUCCCAUCGACGGACAAAAAUCCAACUGCCAUCAGCACCCACCACCACACCACAACAACAACCACCGUCGUUACAACCAGUAAACGCCGCCGUUUCGUACACUCGUCGUUAUCGGCCCAAUUUCUCCCUCCCUUUGCCGGCUGUACAAUAUUUUGACUCACUGGAUGAAGAGCCACGCCAACUAUAAUAAGCCCAACGGAAAUUGCACGACCACCACCACCACCAACCAAAACAACCGCCGCCAUGGCAAUGGCUUUUUUCCUACUUCUUUGAAAUUCAUCUCCUCCUGUCUCAAAACCGCCUCCUCUGGUGUCCGCUCUGCCUCCGCUUCCAUCUCCACUGAUAGCCCAGACCACAAAGCCCAGGUAUUAUGGGCUGGCUUUGACAGAUUAGAGCUUGGUCUCUCUGCCUUUAAAUGUGUUCUCCUGCUCGGUUAUUCCAAUGGCUUUCAAGUCCUUGAUGUUGACAAUGCCUCUAACUUCAGUGAACUUGUUUUGAAGCGAGAUGACCCUGUUACAUUUUUACAAAUGCAGCCCCUCCCUACAAAGUCUGAGGGUCGUGAAGGAUUCAGACCAUUGCAUCCUUUACUAUUGGUAGUUGCAUGUGAUGAAUCAAAGAGCUCUGGUCUGAUGCAAAGUGCAAGAGAUGGGUUGGUCAGGGAUGGUUUUACCGAACCAAAAACAGGAGCCCUCUCUCCUAAUGCUGUUCGGUUUUACUCACUAAGGUCUCACAUUUAUGUUCAUGUCCUGAGAUUCAGGUCGACUGUGUACAUGGUUAGAUGCAGUCCUCAAAUAGUGGCUGUCGGCCUUGCAACACAAAUAUACUGCUUCGACGCACUCACGCUUGAGAAUAAAUUCAGUGUCCUUACCUAUCCUGUCCCUCAAUUGGGAAGCCAAGGAAUGGGUGGAGUUAACAUCGGCUAUGGACCUAUGGCUGUAGGCCCCAGGUGGUUGGCUUAUGCCUCCAACAACUCACUGCUGUCAAACACAGACCGCCUCAGUCCACAAAGUCUUACUCCUCAAGGGGUUAGCCCAUCAACAUCACCUGGAAGUGGAAGUUUAGUGGCUCGUUAUGCCAUGGAAUCUAGUAAGCAGUUAGCUGCUGGAUUAAUCAAUUUGGGUGAUAUGGGCUACAAAACUUUGUCAAAAUAUUGUCAAGAGCUUAUACCUGAUGGGUCUAAUUCUCCUGUAUCAUCAAAUUCGAGUUGGAAAGUUGGUCGGAUUGCCUCACAUAUGGCAGAAACAGAUAAUGCUGGGAUUGUUGUUGUCAAAGAUUUUGGUUCCAGAGCUGUUGUAUCACAGUUUAGGGCCCAUACUACUCCAAUUUCUGCAUUGUGUUUUGACCCUAGUGGGACACUUCUAGUUACUGCUUCAAUACAUGGGAACAAUAUAAACAUUUUCCGGAUAAUGCCGUCUUCCUCACAUAAUGGAUCGUUCACUCAACCACAUGAUUCGGGCUCUUUUUAUGUGCACCUCUAUAAGCUCCACCGUGGCAUGACAUCAGCUGUGAUACAAGACAUCUGUUUUAGUCAUUAUAGUCAGUGGGUUGCUAUUGUUUCUUCCAGGGGCACCUGCCAUAUUUUUGCUCUUUCCCCUUUUGGUGGUGAGACUGUUCUCAAAAUACAGAACUCUCAUGUUGAUGGUCCUACCCUUUUGCCAGUUACAUCUCUACCAUGGUGGUCCACUCCAUCUUUCAUGAUAAACCAACAAUGUUUUUCUCACUUGCCACCACCACCGCCAGUUAUUCUCUCUGUGGUUAGCAGAAUAAAAAAUAGUCAAUCUGGGUGGCUCAACCAAGUUAGUAAUGUGGCAUCUUCUGCAGCAGGAAAGGUCUCCAUUCCAUCUGGUGCAAUUGCUGCUGUUUUUCAUAAUUCAGUGCCUCACGAUAUGUUACCUGCUCAUCUGAAAGGCAAUGCUUUGGAGAACCUAUUGGUUUAUACCCCUUGUGGGCACACAAUUCAAUAUGAACUGUUUCCAUCAAUGGGAGGAGAAUCAAAUGGGGCUGCUUCUAUAGCUGGUCCAGGUUCUUCAUUGCAGAUACAAGAUGAGAAGCUGCGAGUAAAAGUUGAACCUGUUCGAUGGUGGGAUGUUUGCAGAAGUGAUUGGCCAGAAAGAGAGGAAUACAUUUCUGGGAUUACUCUUGGCAGACAAGAAACUGCAGAGAUGGUCAUGGAUACUUCCGACUGUGAGGAUAAUUAUACUGGAAAUAAGGAGUUAGUAAAGCCCGUUGAACGAUCUCACUUAUAUAUAUCCAAUGCAGAGGUGCAGAUUAGCUCUGGCAGGAUACCAAUCUGGCAAAACUCUAAGAUAUCCUUCCAGAGGAUUAGCUUUGGAACUAAUGACCUGAAUUUUACUGAGAGUCAUACCCGUGGAGAGAUUGAAAUAGAGAAGCUUCCCGUUCAUGAGAUUGAAAUAAGACGGAGGGAUUUAUUGCCUGUUAUUGACCAUUUCCUGAGGAUUCAGUCCAAUUGGAGUGACAGGAGCCUUGUUGGGGUAAGAUGCUCGAGUCCAUCUUUUGAUUCUCAUGCGACUAAAGAUAAGUUCUCAGAAGAUCCUAUUGUUUGCCACUCUGAGUUGGCAUCACUUGGCGCAGUUGAAAACUCAGAUGGAUUAUCUGGGGAAUCGUAUACAUCCAUUACCCUACCUGGGAACAAUACAAAUGUGGAGAAAGAAGAGAGAUCUGUUUUCUCAUCGCCUCUGCCAAAUAAAAGUUUUAUUAACACAGAAAGUAUACUAGUUUCUGCCAUACAACCUACAACUAGGGUUUCUAUGGUUCAGGAUAUUGAUUUCACUAAUUGUCUAUCCUCUUUAACAAGUAACUCACUUGCUGAUAGAACCAUUGCCAAAGAAAUCGAGUCAUCAAAUAGUGGGGGGGUCAGUGAAGCUUCAAAUAUAAGCUCCAACCGCUCUGAUUUGAGUAUGAAUAUUCUUGAUGAGGGAUUAGUACAUGACUCUCUAGACUUUGAUCAAUAUUUUCUAGAGGGGUAUUGUAAAGCAUCACCUUCGUGUGACUCCCAUGAUUCAGCUGAAGUUGUCACUGAUGUGGACAGCAACAGUAGUCCCUGUGAUGGGGAGAAAUCCGAGGAAGUUGGUGAAAAUGAUGACAUGCUUAGUGGUAUAUUUGCCUUCUCAGAGGAAGGUUGAUGUGAACCUUCUGGUGUCUGAUGCCACCUUCUCUUGCUUUCAGAAUGUUUGUGUAAUGAUUGGUCAAAGCUCAGCCUAAUGCAGGAUGAGAUUCUAAUGGACAAAAUGCAGUUUAUUUCCUUCCGACAAUUGAAUAGCUACUGACUAAUAGAUACAAGUGGGAUGGCGUGGCGGGAAGUUUACUAUUCUUGAGCUUCUUGUCAAUAAAAUGAUACUUCUACCCUGGUCCAAGCUAAAAGAAAUGAUACUCUUACCCUGGGAAGUCAUCCAAUCAAGUGCUGCACCCAAUCAAACAACGACAGCAACACAAACAAGAAGAAAAACAAAGAGGACCAGGUAUUUCAUAAAGAUUCAUCUUGAUAAGAUCGAAAGCAUAGGCGUGAAAUGCAAAGGGAUAAGGGAUAAAAAGCGGGGCAGGACUGACAGAUAAGUGGGGAAAAAAACUAGAUAGGAUCAUUCAUGAACAACAUCGAUCGCGUCUUCUCUUUUAUAAUAGAAACUUAAUCGACUUUGUUGAAAUCUGUGAUGUUGAUUUAGUGUGUUUAGCAACUUUUAAUCUUUUAGAAAGAGAUGUUUAUUUUCUUUCCCCCGCUUUUAUUGCCUUCUUGUAGUACUUGUUUCACGAUUAUCUUUUAGAAUAGACAAAAGUCUACCUAAAGAUCAUCUCAGUGAUAUAUAUAUAUAUAUAUAUAUAUAUAUAUAUAUAUAUAGAUGUAACUUGUCUUCAACUUCAAGUCAGUUCCACACAUCUCAAAAUGAGCUUUGCCUGAUCUUUUGUGAAAUAUGGCUGCAUAUAUGGUACUAACUUCUUCUGAGCAUUGAAAUGAUCUGAAUUAAGUUUCCAAGUGAUGAAUCAAACAUGCAUGAAUAAAUUAUAUAUAUAUGUUUGUACUGUAGAAGGAUAUAUGCCCAACCAUUUUAUCACCAUUCUCCGUCAGAAACAUGGCAUCAUCAGACGAAAAAGUAAAACUAAGCUAAUAUUUGAUCGAUGUAUAUAUCAAAAAGAGGCUGAAAAUUUGUUUCCACCGAAAUGGCCGGACAAGCGCGCAAGGACGUCUCACAAGGGAGUGGAAAGGGAAGACUUCGAAAAAGCCAUGCCAGUACGUACCCUAUAAAGAGUUAGCACCUUGGAAGACAACAAAACUAGUUGGAGAAAUUGAAAUAACAGAGAGAAAGAGAGCAAUAAUUGAUCACAUGAAAAGAAAGGAAACACACCUAGACGUUGUGCUAGCUAAUUUGAAUGAUAGUUACACCUUGUCCUUUUUGUGUUAUAUAUAUAUAUAUAAAUAUAUAUUUAUAUAUGAUCACUAAAUUACUAAAAUUGUCUUCAAUCCUGCACUUGAAUGAUAGUAAAUUAUAACCUAAUUAUUACCUCAUCAAGAUUUGAUUCAUGUAAAGAAGUAAGAUAAACGAAAAAUUAGACGACUGUCAUGUACAAUCUUAUAAGGAGUUGGCCGCCGGAUCUUAAAAGAACAUAAAAAAUGGAAUGAGAGGUGGUUUAGAGGCCGUAAAAUGACAAUUAACUUUGAUAAUUUAGUGAUUAUAUUACAAAAGAAUUGAUAGCUUGAGACCAUAAAAUUUAUUUUUUUAGAUGUUUUUUCUGAUAUUGUACAAUAUCCGGAAAAACGGAAAGAGGGCAUGGAUUGGUAUAUAUAUGAGUUUUAACGUGAGAUCUUUAAUUUGAAAAUAAAAGUUAUAAAACUACAUGUCUCAAUUUUGUGAAAGAACCCGACAGACAAACAAGGGCUAUAAUUUCCUCAUGCCCGGAGUCUCGUAGAACAGUACUUGAAAAAGAAUUAAAGAAAACAGAAAUACAAGCGAAAAGAGUGCGACUUUAUUUGCUGUAUGCAUAUAUAUUUAGCACCAGAUCGAGGCAGGAAUCUCAUGAGAGUUUUUCUCCGGAAAGAGUUUCACUUCUUACAUCUCUCUCAGGGUUUUACUCUUUUCAAGGGGAAAAAACAUUGAAAGAAUGACGAAAUGAAUCUUUAAGAUCUGGAAGUGAUUGGA